rnacentral:miRNA from 8 species
CCUUAUCAUUCUCUCGCCCCG